rnacentral:rRNA from 1 species
AACGAACGCUGGCGGCAGGCCUAACACAUGCAAGUCGAGCGCGCUCUUCGGAGCGAGCGGCGGACGGGUUAGUAACGCGUGGGAACGUGCCCAGAGGUAGGGAACAACUGCUGGAAACGGCAGCUAAUACCCUAUGAGCCCUACGGGGGAAAGAUUUAUCGCCUUUGGAUCGGCCCGCGUCGGAUUAGCUUGUUGGUGAGGUAACGGCUCACCAAGGCUUCGAUCCGUAGCUGGUUUGAGAGGAUGAUCAGCAACACUGGGACUGAGACACGGCCCAGACUCCUACGGGAGGCAGCAGUGAGGAAUAUUGGACAAUGGGGGAAACCCUGAUCCAGCCAUGCCGCGUGAGUGAAGAAGGCCCUAGGGUUGUAAAGCUCUUUCAGCUGUGAAGAUGAUGACGGUAGCAGCAGAAGAAGCCCCGGCUAACUCCGUG